AACCAGGAAGGGAGCAAGUGAGUAAUUUGCCGAUAUCCCAGGGACCAGAUACGGUGCUGGAGCAAGAGCUGCGAGCUUUGACACACCGCGCAUCGUGCCAGCGGACACCACCGCCCUAAGAGGUGUUUCUUUGGGCAUUCCUCUCCCUCAUUCUGCCGGCCCCUGGAGAGAAAAGACCCUGACGUUUCCACCCCCCCUACCCCGAAUAUUUUUCGCUUCUUGAUGAAGGGGCCACCGCUCUCCUCCGUAGGAAUUCGGCCUUAAAAAUGAAGGGAUGGGGGAGGGGGGGUUUGUGGAAAUGAGUUGACGACUACAUUUGUAGUGUUUCCCGCUGCCCCUGUAGGAGAACCCCCGCCUCCUGGCAGCCCGGAGUCUUUAUGCAAGCAGGUCCACGGGUUGGGAUUUAACUGAGACUUAAUGUGGAUAGGAAAGGUCCAGAGAGAAAUGGGCUGAACUCAGCAUAUGGUAUGUGGGCACUUUGGUCAGCAUGGACCAUGUGGGCCAUACUCCAUGUUAGAUGUACCAGCUCACUGUCAAUACCCACUGGUAGAAUGCCAAGGCAAGCACAGGAUCAUUGAAAACUUGCAUUUGGCCCCUGUUAUUUCUGCCAGUCAGACAGGAACUCCCUUGGCCAACCUCCUUUCAAUUCUAGGUCCCUGGCUCUUUGGGGACCACACAGCCUGUUCUGUUCGCUCUGGGAAGUGUGGGUUCUGCAGGCUGAGAAGAGGUGGUGAGCUGCCUUCUUGAACCACCACAGUUCUUGCGGUGUGAGUGUACCCGGACAUGGUGAAGGAAGAGUUAUGUGUUCCAAAAUAGGACAACAUGCCUUUGAGGGCAACUUGCAGAUGGUGGUAUUCGCCACGAUUGUGAUGUCUCCGUCCUUAUAGCUGGCGAAGAUCGUAGGAAAGGAAGGCACUUUCUAAUGAGUCCUGAUGAAAAGCCUUGGCCCGAAACAUCAACUAUACUCUAUUCCACAGAUGCUGCUUGCCUGCUGAGUCCCUCCAACAUUUUGUGUGUGUGUGUUGCUUGUGUAACGCCCUGGUUAAGAUUUUUUUUACUGCUCUGCUGUAGGCAUUUCAUUUUAGCCAGUCUGUUUUGCUUUCAACCUGUUUGGGUUCAAGCUAACACAAGUGGCUUUGUUGUUCAACUUAGGAGUGUGGUGUCAGCCAGUCAGGGUGGUGGAAUUGGGAGAAAGUUCUAGAGAACACUGGGCGGAGAGAUUUUUUGUGACGGACACUGAUGUGUGGGUCGUGUUCUUUUGGGUGGGGGGGUUGCGAGAGCCAGGAAGGAAGAUGGCUGAGGAUGCUGACCCUGUUGCACAAGGUGCUUUGUGCAGAUGACUGGCUACAAGGAACAAGAACCAAUACUCCUGUGGGGGGGAGCCGUCUGUUCGAGAUGGAUUUGACCGACAUUCAGAAAGUGGUGUGUGCUUUCACGCACACCAAGGGUCCAGCGCGGGAGUUAAAUCCAACUUCAAGGUUUCCAGGAUAUGCAGCUCCCUGCUCCAGUGCGGUGAAGGUUCAUCAACAAUGCUGAAGCGCAAGGGCUUUGACCCUGUGCCAACGAAAGAAUGCCAUCUGCCCGAGUCAGGCUGGCGUGUGUCCUGGGGGAGCACUUUGAGAUGCAGGGUGAGAGGUAGGGUUUCCUCAGCUGUGAUGUCACGUCAGCUCAUGGAGCCCACAGUCCAACAUUAAGCUGUCCAAGUUCGCAAAGACUUUAGAUUACCCAUGCAACAUUGCCAGAAAGAUUUUGAACUGCCUCUCUCCAUGUUGCUCCUGCGUCCUUGUUAGUCUCCAGGAGCGGGGGGAAGGAUCUCUUCCCUACAAGCCAGUGUCUUGUCAAAAAGGGCUCAUCGCCAACGCUCGCUACCUUGCAGUCUCCAGUAACAGUGUUAGAUAACAAGAUCUCCCAAGAGGAGAAAGGGGAGCCUACCUACUUGAUCACCUUAGCCAGCAAGAAACCCAGAGACAGACAGGUGUGGGAGAGAGACAGUCAUCACGUAACUAACAGAGGGAGAGACAGACAAAGGAAGACCACCAGAAGAGGGGAAGAGAUGGGGAGAAAGCGAGAAAGAGAGGGAGAGGGGAAGGGGAGGAGGAAGAGGAAUAGGGUAUUUCACUGCCUCUCCCUCCUGUUCAUUAGUUGGGAGCCCAGAUUCUCUGACUGGCUGGAGUAUGGUAUGUGGCCAGGAAUUGUCAAGUGCAGCUCCGUGAGGCUCUCUUGAAGCAAGUCAGCAGCAGCCACUACUGGUAACACUGAGAACAGUCAGGAAGUUUUGCUUCAAGAAUCACUGCUUUCCCACUGCGGCUCUUCAUAUUUGGGCACUGUUAUGGUUUUUAUUAUCACGUCAUGUGACUAUGAUGUCCUUGUUAAUAAAUUAUGGUUUUAAUGCA